CCAAAAACUUGAUAGCACCAAUGAUUUGGUACUAUUAAUAGUAUAGUAGUCUAGUUCUAUAUAUGAGUCCGGCUACUAUGCUAUUAAUAGCACGAAGCAUUUGCUGCUACCAAGUUUUUCACCGUUAGAUCUACCCUUUUGAUCAUUUUUACCCGUUAGAUCAUACUAUUCAACCAACCACCCACUCAACCCUUGGGGGCCCACAUCAUCCUAACCGUACAUCUUUUAAUCCAAUAACCAAAAACUUGAUAGCAUCAAUGAUUUGGUACUAUUAAUAGUAUAGUAGUCUAGUUCUAUAUAUGAGUCCGGCUACUAUGCUAUUAAUAGCACGAAGCAUUUGCUGCUACCAACUAUUAGGAUGAUGUGAUUCUUUUAGGGUUGAGUGGGUGGUUGGUUGAAUAGUAUAAUCGAACGGAUGAAAAUAAUAAAAAUGGUAAAUCUAACGAUAGAGAACUUGAUAGCACCAAACCAAAUGCUUCAUACUAUCGAUAGUAUCGCAGCCGGACUCUAUAUAUAUAUAUAUAUAUAAAACUUAUUAUAACUAUUACUGUCACGCCUGAGAUGCAGCUCAAUCCAAAUUAGCCAACAAAUCAAUUGCAUACAUAGAAAGUCCUAUAUACACAAAGCGAUAAAAGUAUCUGUAAAAUAUAUAAAAAUUUCUACAAGUUAUAGAGCUUAAAAAUAACUGCUAAAAGUAAAAUAUAGUUUACUGUACAUACAUAAACUUUAAGGGCUUGUUUGGUUCAAGGGUGGAAUUGGAAUGGAUAAUGGAAUUGGAAUGAAUAAUGGAAUGCGAAUGAAUUGAAAUGGUAAUUGAAAUGACCUACUCCCCCAAGAUAUUUGGUUUAUUUAUGGAUUGAGAAUUGGAAUAAGUUAUUCACAUUUCAUUGUUUGGUUCGUAUAAACUAAAAAAAUUAUACUAUAAUUACUAAUUUUACUCUCAAAUAUAAAUUUAUAUUAUUUAAAAUUUAUGAAAAAUAUAAUACUAUUCUAAUAAGUUUUCCAAAAAAAUAUCAAAUUUAUUUUUAAAAACUUUUAUUGAUGUGGGUUAGGGAUAGGGUUUUGAGAGAGGAUAUGUUUUUUUUUUUUUUUUGAUGAGAAAGGGGUGAAGAGAAGGAGGGUGAGAUGGUCACAUAGGCUUCGAGAACUUUGUGGGCUUUCGAAAUGUAAUCUCAAUCCGGGCUAGAAGACCGGAAUGAAGUUGAAGGCUAAUGGGCCAUUCCCAUUCCAGUCCGGAAUAGGAAUCUCAAACCAAUUCAUGCGAACCAAACAAAAUUAACCAGAUUUGAUCAAAUCGAUUUCCAUUCCAUACCCAAAAUGGAUGAACCAAACAAGCCCUAAAAGUACAACCGAUAAAAAACAUCAAGAAUAAAAAU
rnacentral:lncRNA from 1 species